GGUCGGUUCGAGUAUGUGAUAUUUCGGAACAGAAUCUAGUUCCUAAUCAUGAUUAUUUGAUUACAUUGAUAUCGAAGGAACUAGAUUCUGUUCCGAAAUAUCACUUACUCGAAC